ensembl:lncRNA
UUUUAAAGCUCCUUCAUUCAUCCCACAAAUCUCGACUGAGCACCUGCUCUGAAGAUCCAGGCACUGCAGUAAAUCCUCUGUGGACAUAACUUCGUUUAAUCCCACCACUUGCCGUGUGUUUGCUGUAGGUCCUGGCAUCCACAUUUUGUUUUAUUUCUUUUUAAGAUUGGCCCUGGACUAACAUCUGCUGCCAAUCUUUUUCUUCUUCUUCUCUCCAAAGCCCCUGGUACAUAGUUGUACAUUCUAGUUGGAGGUCCUUCGGGCUCUGCUGUGUGGGACACCCCAUCCACAUUUCUUAAUGAAAAGUCUAAAACAGUGCUUCUCAAACUCCAGGGUGCGUCGGAAUCUCCCGGAGGGCUCAGUAAACACAGAAUGCUGGGCUCCGCCACAGAGUUUGUGAUUCAGUAGGUCUGGAGUGGGGCCCGAGAAAUUGCAUUUCUCAUAAACUUCCAAGUGAUGCCGAUGCUGCCGGCCCAUGGUCCACACUGUGAGAACCACAGCUGGUAGGUGGAGAUGCCUCAGUCCACCCCCAGGUUUGUCUCAGCCUACCCCCAGGCUCUUACCCAAACUCCCUAGUGCUUCCCAAUCUGAGAGCAGGGCAGGUGGCAUCAGAGAGGCCUUUGGGUAAGGACUAUGGGAUGCACAACCUGGGGAGAAAUACAGUUGUCCCCUCCACUCUUUCUUGCUCCGCAUCCCCACGCCCAGGUGGGCCUGCCUGGAGGCUCCGGAGAGUUUGGCUUAGCUGGUCCCGGGAUAAUGAUGACUCCUCUUCAAAUCCUUUCCUGGCCGAUUCCCACAACUCACGCACUAAGCAGUCACAACUGUGUGUGUAUUUGGGGGAAGGCUGUUGUGGUCGACUUGAUAACAGCUUCCCAAAGAUAUCAGGUCUAAUCCCAGGUGUCUGUAUGAGAGGGAGGCAGCAGGAGAUGGUCCAGAAGAGGUGGCGAUGUGACAAAGGCAGACAUUGGAGCGCUGCAGCCAGCAGACGCUGGAGGAGGCAGGAGAUGGAUCCUCCUCUAGAGGCCCUGGAGGGAGCAUGGCUCUGCCCACACCUUGAUUUCAGCUCAGCGAAACUGAUUGCAGACUUCUGGCCUCCUGAACUGUGAGAGAAUGAAUUUCUGUUGUUUCAGCUACCGAGUCCGUGGCAACUUGUUACAGCAGCCACAGAAAACUAACACAGCUGGGAGAAGGUGCAGGCUGCCCCUUGUCCCCCUGAUCUCACCGACACCUUCACCUUGGCUGCAUGCCCAUCCUUGGGGAGCUGGGACUGGAGGCCCCGUGGUGGGAAGGAUUUGGUCAGGAAGGACCAUCUUGUCCUGAGGCGUCUCCAGGAGGCUCCAGAGAGUUGCCAAGGGAAACAGGCAGAGGACACUGGUCCUCCAUAUCCUCCUCCACCUCCUCUCCAGACUCCAGGCCAGCUUCCACCACCCCACUCCCAGCAUCAUCUCUGCCCCACUUGGUGAGAACCAUCCUUGCAGUGAGCCUGGCGCUCCAGAGACCAGCAUCCUCUCCUGAUCCCCUCCCCCCUCCCCAGCCUUUGAAGUUAUCAGCUGGGAGGAUCAACAUGCCUCAGGCCAGGAGGUGUCUCCUUUGUGUCUGCUCACUGGGCUCAUCCACCUGGCCUGUGCACCCAGGAAUCCUGCUGGGAAAGUCUCAUCUUACAAGACACAGUCACCUGCAAGGGGACAGAGAAGGGGUGGUUAUGGCCUGGCAGACAAGGUGACCCCCGACACACACACACACACACACACAGGUAAGCAUGUGCUUGUUAAUAAAUACAGGUCCCACUGAGGAACAGUGUCACACAGUGUCACAGGGCACUAUCACUCCACCAGAGGAAAUCAGAGUCCCUGGGCCAGGCUCUAUGAAGACACCCUUGGUCCUGUAGGAAGCCAAUUGCAGUAUGAAAUCAGGAAGCCAGAUGCACCUGCCAGGGAGAGGCGGAAGAAAUGUAGGGGGUGGCUACAGGGACAAUGGGGCAGCCCAGAAGGCUACUUUGCAUAAAUUAGAAAAAUGUGCCCCUUCCUCAAAGCCCUUUACUUCCAUCUGAUAGAAAAGUGCCCUAAUGGUUCAAUCCUUCUAUGUUGACUACAGAGUUGUGCAGUGUACAACCUGCGCAAUGGUAAGGGGUGGCCCUGAGGGAUGAGGGGGUCCAAAAGGGAAAGAAGGAGGAAGGACCCACGGGUCCAGUGAGGGAAAUGGGGAAAGCAGUGGUCAGUGACAAGAGCCCCGGGCUGAGCAGACCUGUGUCCACUCUAAUAUCACUAACAGUGGGAACUUGGGGGAGUGACUGAACCCCCCCUAAGGCACAAUUUACUGAUUUGGAAAAUGAGGGGGGAGGGCUCAGGGAUGGUCUGCCCUUAGGAUUAAAUGAGAUGAUCGAUGCAAAGCUCGGCUUGUCAUGAAACAAGUGCCCCGGAUGGUGCAACAAGAACAGUGACAACACACAGAGAGGGAAAGAGACAGACAGUGACAACACACAGAGAGAGGCCGGCUGUUCCCGGGCAGGAGACGGGGUUUCACUGGCUUCUUGAGAGGUCGUUUUAAGUAGAAAUUAACUGUCACGUGGAACCAGUGUCACCAACGGCCCAUGUCACCACGGUCAGAUGGACCGUGCUGAGCAUUUGAGGUCUAGUGCUGUUGGGGCUGCGGGCAGGAGGGGCAGGCCCCGCGGCCGGGGGCUCGGGGGUCGCACAGGGACGCCUCCCUGUUCGCGGACACCGCCACCAGGCCCUCCAGCGCCCCCGCCGCCGCCCGGGCAGGGCCGCCGCCAGCUCCCAGGCCACAGGCCAAGGGAGGCGCGGCCGGAGCGCUGUCCGCGCACCGCAGCGCCACCUGGAGCUCAGGCGCGCGAGGUGACAGGCCGUCCGGUCCCCUAGCUCGGCGGCCGCCCCAAUGGCCCCACAGGUCCCAGGCAGCGCCUGGUGCUCUGUGCCCCCGGCCCCUCCCGACCCGCGCCCACCGGACCAGGAGGGAGGUCAGACUAGACCGAGGGCGGAGGCCGGAGAGACUCCGCCUCCCAGAGGCCCCGCCUCUUCAGCCUGGGGCGUUGGGCAGGUGUCCAGACCCCGUGCACUCCCUUCGUUGGUCUCCCUCCUCCCCUUCCUCAGUGACUUCAGGGUAAAGUCCAAAUUCCAUCU